GCCAGCAGCCGCGGUAAUACCAGCUCCAGUAGUGUAUGCUAAAGUUGUUGCAGUUAAAAAGCUCGUAGUUGUGUUUGUUUCCGGCGGCAUCGGGCGCGCCACGUUAAGGCGCGGCGUGUCUGUGCGGUCGGAAUGAAAUUUUGGGCUGGAUGUCGUGUGGCCUUCACUGGCUGCGCGUCAGGCGGCCCAUCAUUUACUGUGAGAAAAUUAGAGUGUUCAAGGCAGGCGUUUGUAAUUGAAUAUGUUAGCAUGGAAUAAUGAGAUAUGGCUCCCGUUUGUUGGUUUUGUGAUGUGGAAGUAAUGAUUGAUAGGGACGGUUGGGGGUGCUAGUAUUCAGCGGCCAGAGGUGAAAUUCAUGGAUUCGCUGAAGACUGACUUCUGCGAAAGCAUUCACCAAGGACGUCCUCUUUAAUCAAGAACGAAAGUUGGGGGAUCGAAGACGAUCAGAUACCGUCGUAGUCUCAACCAUAAACUAUGUCGACUAGCGAUUGGCAGUUGUUUUUCAUAGACAUUGUCAGGAGCUUGAGAGAAAUCAAAGUGUUUGGACUCUUGGGGAAGUAUGGUCGCAAGACUGAAACUUAAAGGAAUUGACGGAAGGGCACCACCAGGAGUGGAGCCUGCGGCUUAAUUUGACUCAACACGGGAAAUUUUACCASGUCCAGAGAUGUAGAGGAUUGACAGAUUGAAGCUCUUUCUUGAUCACUUCGSUGSUGGYRCMWGGCCGUUCUUAGUUGGUGGAGUGAUUUGUCUGGUUAAUUCCGUU
rnacentral:rRNA from 1 species